rnacentral:rRNA from 1 species
CCUACGGGUGGCUGCAGUGGGGAAUAUUGGACAAUGGGGGCAACCCUGAUCCAGCCAUGCCGCGUGUGUGAAGAAGGCCCUCGGGUUGUAAAGCACUUUCAGUGAGGAAGAACGCCUGGUGGUUAAUACCCAUCAGGAAAGACAUCACUCACAGAAGAAGCACCGGCUAACUCCGUGCCAGCAGCCGCGGUAAUACGGAGGGUGCGAGCGUUAAUCGGAAUUACUGGGCGUAAAGCGCGCGUAGGUGGCUUGAUAAGCCGGUUGUGAAAGCCCCGGGCUCAACCUGGGAACGGCAUCCGGAACUGUCAAGCUUGAGUGCAGGAGAGGAAGGUAGAAUUCCCGGUGUAGCGGUGAAAUGCGUAGAGAUCGGGAGGAAUACCAGUGGCGAAGGCGGCCCUCUGGACUGACACUGACACUGAGGUGCGAAAGCGUGGGCAGCAAACAGGAUUAGAUACCCCAGUAGUC